rnacentral:rRNA from 1 species
ACGGGAGGCAGCAGUGGGGAAUAUUGCACAAUGGGCGCAAGCCUGAUGCAGCGACGCCGCGUGAGUGAAGAAGUAUUUCGGUAUGUAAAGCUCUAUCAGCAGGGAAGAUAAUGACGGUACCUGACUAAGAAGCACCGGCUAAAUACGUGCCAGCAGCCGCGGUAAUACGUAUGGUGCAAGCGUUAUCCGGAUUUACUGGGUGUAAAGGGAGCGUAGGCGGAAUCUUAAGUCUGAUGUGAAAACCCGGGGCUCAACUUCGGGAUUGCAUUGGAAACUGAGGAUCUAGAGUGUCGGAGGGGUAAGUGGAAUUCCUAGUGUAGCGGUGAAAUGCGUAGAUAUUAGGAGGAACACCAGUGGCGAAGGCGGCUUACUGGACGAUUACUGACGCUGAGGCUCGAAAGCGUGGGGAGCAAACAGGAUUAGAUACCCUGGUA